rnacentral:rRNA from 1 species
CCUACGGGAGGCAGCAGUUAGGAAUAUUGGUCAAUGGAAGCAAGUCUGAACCAGCCAUACCGCGAGAAGGAAGACGGCCCUACGGGUUGUAAACUUUUUUUGUACAGGAAAAAACCACCGGUGGUGAAUUGGUGCUGAUGGUACGGUAAGAAUAAGGAUCGGCUAAGUCCGUGCCAGCAGCGGAGGUAAUAGGGAGGAUCCGAGCUUUGUCUGGAUUCAUUGGAUAUAAAGGGUGGGCAGGUGGAAAGAUAAGUCAGUGGAGAAAUCUGAUCGGCUCAAGUGAGAAACCAUGCCAUUGAUACUGUCGUUAUUGAGUACAAUGGGAGUGGGCAUGAAUGUGUCAUGUAGCGAUGAAAUGGUUAUAUAUGAGCACAGAACACUGGAUAGGGAAGGCAGCUCAGUAAGUCGUAACUGACGGUCAGGCAAGAAAGGGUGGGGAUCAAACAGGAUUAGAUACCUUGGUCGUCCCCGCAGUAAAGGAUGAUCACUAGAGGUGGGAUAGACACUGUCAGCGUCGAAGCGAAAGCAU